AUGAGGUGGCUGACUGUCUGCCUUUUUUACCUCUCACCCAGCAGGCAGCACGGCCAGCUCUGGAACCUUCCACGUGCACUUUUAGGCCAUCGUGAGGGAUGCGGCUAUGCUUCCCCAGACAGGAGGAGCCCUCGUGCACACUGGUCUUGGCGGCGCUGGACCAGCUUCCCUGGGGUUCCCAGAUGCUGAGGGAGCUCUGUGCUCUGUGAGCUCAUCUCCAUGGCAGCUCGGGUUCUGCAUUGGUCUUGACCCAUUUCUUCAGUGCCGUAGGUGAGAUCUCUCCCUCCCCCACAUUUCCUUUAUUUAAAAAUUUUAUACUAUUUGCACUGGCAACAUACAUGUAGAUUCCAAUACUAUGCUCCUAACCCGGAGCUUGCCUCCCUUGUUCUAAACAUUGGCUGUGGCUCCAGGAUGCCU
rnacentral:lncRNA from 1 species